GGCGAUAUAUAAAUUCAUCAGUCUGAUUUUAUUCACCGUUAAUGGGCAUUUAAAUAACUGCUAUGUGUAAUUGCAGCCUAUUUAUACGACUUUUAUUGCCUUUUAAUUGCUGAUGUUGUAGUCCUUAUUGGGAAGUCCGAGGCGGAACUACAUCGUCUGCUUGAUAUAACAGCUAAUUUUGGUUCAAAGUGUAAUCUAAAAUUUAACCAAAACAAAUCCAUGGUUAUGAUAAUAGACAAGCGUUUAGAUAAAGAUAAGAAGUGACAAUUAGGUAACCUGCUCCUGGAGGAAGCCAAUGAAUACAAAUAUCUCGGUGUUUAUUUAACCCGUUCAUUGACUUUUGCCUAUCAUAUAAAUUGUUACUUAAAAG
rnacentral:lncRNA from 1 species